GACAGAGGAUGCAAGCGUUAUCCGGAAUGAUUGGGCGUAAAGCGUCUGUAGGUGGCUUUUUAAGUCCGCCGUCAAAUCCCAGGGCUCAACCCUGGACAGGCGGUGGAAACUACCAAGCUGAGUACGGUAGGGGCAGGAGGGAAUUUCCGGUGGAGCGGUGAAAUGCAUAGAUAUCGGGAAGAACACCAACGGCGAAAGCACUCCGCUGGGCUGAUACUGACACUGACAGACGAAAGCUAGGGGUAGCGAAAAGGGG
rnacentral:rRNA from 1 species